rnacentral:rRNA from 1 species
CUACGGGCGGCACCAGUAGGGAAUCUUCCACAAUGGGCGAAAGCCUGAUGGAGCAACGCCGCGUGAGUGAAGAAGGUUUUCGGAUCGUAAAACUCUGUUGUAAGGGAAGAACAAGUACAGUAGUAACUGGCUGUACCUUGACGGUACCUUAUUAGAAAGCCACGGCUAACUACGUGCCAGCAGCCGCGGUAAUACGUAGGUGGCAAGCGUUGUCCGGAAUUAUUGGGCGUAAAGCGCGCGCAGGCGGUCCUUUAAGUCUGAUGUGAAAGCCCACGGCUCAACCGUGGAGGGUCAUUGGAAACUGGGGGACUUGAGUGCAGAAGAGGAAAGUGGAAUUCCAAGUGUAGCGGUGAAAUGCGUAGAGAUUUGGAGGAACACCAGUGGCGAAGGCGACUUUCUGGUCUGUAACUGACGCUGAGGCGCGAAAGCGUGGGGAGCAAACAGGAUUAGAUACCCCUGUAGUC